GGAGGCGUGGCAGAGCGGUUGAAUGCACUGGUCUUGAAAACCAGCAAGGGUUUACGCCCUUCAGAGGUUCGAAUCCUCUCGCCUCCG
rnacentral:tRNA from 1 species